UGAUGAGCUGGACCCUUUUGCAGAGCGUCGGACACAGCAGCACCUCAGUCAUCACCCACAGCUGGACUUCAUUGCAUCGCUGGAGCAGCAGCUCUAAUGGCAUUGUGUGACUACUGCAAACAUGGCGGCUAAAGUUCUCCCUUCCCAACCAUACUGCUGCACGCCAUCUGUCAGGAAGCACUGAUUGUUUGCAGGACCAACAUGCAGAUCAGGAGCUUCGAGUCACAUGCCUCCCCUCUGAGACUCUUAUUGUGUUUGCAGUGUAAUGAUUCCUGAUAGAAUCUUGACAGUACAGCACCAGGAUCUGAUAUACUGGUCCUAAUGAAGAUUUCACUGUAUGCGCACUCAUGCAUCAGCUCCCUUCUUAUGGCUGCCUUCUCCUGUCAUCAACCAUCAGUCAACGAAUCACCUCUGUUCAUGCAAUUAGCCAGAGCUGACAGGCUGGAAGUGGCUGCAGUUUGCAGCCUUAAUUGUGUUUUGUGGAGACAAAUACAGGGUGCUUCUGUUAGACAUGACUUCCUGGCACAUUAACACUCAACCAAAAGACACACAGAGAUAAAAAGACUAUUGGCUGUAAAAGCAGAAGGGAUGUUCACAAGUGCACAAGAUGGAAUAUUAACUCACAAACAUGCUGGUGGUAUCUUGAGUGAAUUAUGACUUUGAGCGAAUCUCAUAAAGCUGUUCCAGCUGAUCCCAAUAUUACCAGUAUACAGGCACACAGAAAAUGUCUCAUGUGUAUUGACAACCAUGAAAGGGCGGAGUCACUGUAUUUCUGUACACAGGAUCUGAACCAUGAUGAAAAUAUGAUGGUUAGUUUCCUGGUUCCAGUGAAUGACAUAACUGCUGGUUCCAUAUUUUCGAGCAGAACCCUCAGGUGACAAACAUUGCUUGCUUUUAGCUUCACUGCAAAAUGUUUCUGACUCAAAGCCAAAGUGUUGAUGUCCCUGUCCCCCUCAGAAUUAAUUAUUGAUCUGACCACAGCUUAUCUGGGCUAAUGCUCUGUGUGCAGUGGGAUCUAGUCAUAAUGCAAAAAACAAACAAUCAAACCCCUGAGCCGAUGACUGGAAUGCAACACAGGUCGAAAGGAUGUUGAGUCAACACUACCACAGAAGUCCUCUUAAUAAACAUAACCUCACGUUUCUGCACAAAGUCACGUUCCUCAGAUGUUUUCUGUCCUCAUUCGUGUCUGGCAUGUAUGGUAUGAGACACCUAAGAGGGCCUGCAAGGUGUCAGUCAAAGUUCUUCCUCCAGUAACAGUGGACAACGUGAUGGCAAGAAGGUGAAGAGUAGCUCAGUUUCUCAAAUAAAUCUUUUCAUACUCUGAUUCAAAUGGUGGGUAUUUACUGUAGAAAGAGGACAAGAAAGCCAACAGAUGGAGUGGAAUACAGCAAAGCCCACAGCUCCUGAUUUCAACUUAGACAUGCAGUAGAAAAGCCUUCUUUACCCUCUGAAGGCAGAGCACCAUCUCAACUAGCUGAGCUACUCAGCACCCCCCAACAUGCAUCAAUCAGUUGUCUUCAGCUUAUCCAGGACUUAGGUUUAGGAAAGAAACACAGAGAUCCCUUUCUCCGGUGUCACUCUCCUGCCUAUUUUGGGGGAGAUCCCAAGGGGAUGUAGAACCUCUAAUGGGUUCUAACUAUGUCCUAGGGUCUCCUCAAAGUUUGUUUUAAUUUAUUUUUAUAAAUUGCUUUUGUGCAAUGUUUUAAUUGUAGUGCUAUUGAGUGUUUUGAAAUGUGAACUUGCCUGAAACAAAUGCUUUCUGUUAGUUUGAUGCUUUUAAAAAAUAUUGUUUUGUUGUUUUCUCAUUUUGUCUGUGAAGGCCACAUGUGAUCUGUUUACAUAGCAAACAAAUUGCCUUUUUGUUUGGUUUGGUCUGGUUUU